CCUACGGGAGGCAGCAGUGAGGAAUAUUGGUCAAUGGACGAGAGUCUGAACCAGCCAAGUAGCGUGAAGGAUGACUGCCCUAUGGGUUGUAAACUUCUUUUAUAAAGGAAUAAAACGAGGCACGUGUGCCUUUUUGCAUGUACUUUAUGAAUAAGGAUCGGCUAACUCCGUGCCAGCAGCCGCGGUAAUACGGAGGAUCCGAGCGUUAUCCGGAUUGAUUGGGUUUAAAGGGAGCGUAGAUGGGUUGUUAAGUCAGUUGUUCAAGUUUGCGGCUCAACCGUAAAAUUGCAAUUGAUACUGGCAGUCUUGAGUACAGUUGAGGUAGGCGGAAUUCGUGGUGUAGCGGUGAAAUGCUUAGAUAUCACGAAGAACCCCGAUUGCGAAGGCAGCUUACUAAACUGUGACUGACAUUGAUGCUCGAAAGUGUGGGUAUCAAACAGGAUUAGAUACCCCUGUAGUC
rnacentral:rRNA from 1 species